rnacentral:tRNA from 1 species
GGUACCUCUGCUUAGCAUGGGGCUAAAAGUCCGGUUGGAGCGUCCGACUGAUAAUCGGAAGGUCGAGAGUUCAAAUCUCUCCGGGCCCA